UACGUAGGCAGCGAGCGUUGUUCGGAAUUAUUGGGCGGAAAGGGUGCGUAGGCGGUUUGGUAAGUCUCUUGUGAAAUCUAUGGGCUCAACUCAUAGUCUGCAAGGGAAACUGCCGGGCUUGAGUGUGGGAGAGGUGAGUGGAAUUUCCGGUGUAGCGGUGAAAUGCGUAGAUAUCGGAAGGAACACCUGUGGCGAAAGCGGCUCACUGGACCACAACUGACGCUGAUGCACGAAAGCUAGGGGAGCAAACAGG
rnacentral:rRNA from 1 species